UGCGCAGCGCAUGUUUGACCACGAUGUUGCGGAAACUCACACCUUUCAGCCGGGCGGUACGGAUAUACUGCGCCGUCAUUACCUCGGCCAUCGAGGCGCGGGUCAUACGUGCGAUAUAGCCCAUACCGUAAAGCGCAAUGGUCAGCACCGGCAGGAAGAAGUUUUCAAACGUGGCGUCU
rnacentral:ncRNA from 1 species